rnacentral:tRNA from 1 species
GGCUCCAUGGUGUAGUGGUUAGCAUGUCUGCUUUACAUGCAGAAAAUCCUGGGUUCGUGCCCCAGGUGGAGCCA